rnacentral:rRNA from 1 species
AGAGUUUGAUCAUGGCUCAGGAUGAACGCUAGCUACAGGCUUAACACAUGCAAGUCGAGGGGAAACGACAUUGAAAGCUUGCUUUUGAUGGGCGUCGACCGGCGCACGGGUGAGUAACGCGUAUCCAACCUGCCCACCACUUGGGGAUAACCUUGCGAAAGUAAGACUAAUACCCAAUGAUAUCUCUAGAAGACAUCUGAAAGAGAUUAAAGAUUUAUCGGUGAUGGAUGGGGAUGCGUCUGAUUAGCUUGUUGGCGGGGUAACGGCCCACCAAGGCGACGAUCAGUAGGGGUUCUGAGAGGAAGGUCCCCCACAUUGGAACUGAGACACGGUCCAAACUCCUACGGGAGGCAGCAGUGAGGAAUAUUGGUCAAUGGGCGAGAGCCUGAACCAGCCAAGUAGCGUGCAGGACGACGGCCCUAUGGGUUGUAAACUGCUUUUAUAAGGGAAUAAAGUGAGUCUCGUGAGACUUUUUGCAUGUACCUUAUGAAUAAGGACCGGCUAAUUCCGUGCCAGCAGCCGCGGUAAUACGGAAGGUCCGGGCGUUAUCCGGAUUUAUUGGGUUUAAAGGGAGCGUAGGCCGGAGAUUAAGCGUGUUGUGAAAUGUAGACGCUCAACGUCUGCACUGCAGCGCGAACUGGUUUCCUUGAGUACGCACAAAGUGGGCGGAAUUCGUGGUGUAGCGGUGAAAUGCUUAGAUAUCACGAAGAACUCCGAUUGCGAAGGCAGCUCACUGGAGCGCAACUGACGCUGAAGCUCGAAAGUGCGGGUAUCGAACAGGAUUAGAUACCCAGGUAGUCCGCACGGUAAACGAUGGAUGCCCGCUGUUGGCCUGAAUAGGUCAGCGGCCAAGCGAAAGCAUU